UGGUUUUGAGAAUAGGUUGUUGCUAGAGCACUGUGUGUUAUCCUUUUAUGUGCCUCCUAGUGUCCAUGUUACAUUUAGCGCUACAUCAAAAGUAUUCCUGAUGAUUCACCAACAAGCCCCGUCCCCGUCACUACCCAUGUUUUACAGAUGGAGCAAUUUCAUGGUCUUGGAGGCAGCAGCAUAGGACCCGCAACACGGCGCAUUUUAGGAAUUUUGCUAAGCCAAAAAGUGGCAGUGCAGUACAGUUGGCUUGGCAAAAAAGGAAAGAAAAGUUUUUCUGCACUGCAAGUGGCUGACACAAUCACAAGGGCUGUAAUGCAAAAUUUUCCCACAUCAAAAAGAAAUGAUGUCGAAAGUAUAAUAAAGGUGUGGCUGCGCCACUCUGGCGAAAAACUUCGAAAACAGCAGGCCAAGGCUGCCACAUCUGAAAGCUCACUGGAUGUGAACUCGGAUUUCUCUGAUUAAAUGCCUGGAAAUUCAAGAUUUCAAGAGGAGUCAAUUUGCUCAAGAUUUAUUGCUGGCCUUGGCAGGUGCCAC